rnacentral:rRNA from 1 species
CCCAGACUCCUACGGGAGGCAGCAGUGGGGAAUAUUGCACAAUGGGGGAAACCCUGAUGCAGCGACGCCGCGUGGGUGAAGAAGCGCCUCGGCGCGUAAAGCCCUGUCAGCAGGGAAGAAAAUGACGGUACCUGAAGAAGAAGCCCCGGCUAACUACGUGCCAGCAGCCGCGGUAAUACGUAGGGGGCAAGCGUUAUCCGGAUUUACUGGGUGUAAAGGGGGCGCAGGCGGCUCUGCAAGUCAGGCGUGAAAGCUAGGGGCUCAACCCCUAAACUGCGCUUGAAACUGUGGAGCUUGAGUGAAGUAGAGGCAGGCGGAAUUCCCGGUGUAGCGGUGAAAUGCGUAGAGAUCGGGAGGAACACCAGUGGCGAAGGCGGCCUGCUGGGCUUUAACUGACGCUCAGGCACGAAAGCAUGGGUAGCAAACAGGAUUAGAUACCCGCGUA